AAAGUGACAAAUCAGACGAGCUACCUACAGCAAGUGAAACAUCGGUGUCAUCGAAAACAAAAAGGAGUUUAAUAAAUCGGAGAAAUAUCUACAAAACCAUCGAAAGGAAAUUGAAUGCUGCUGGUUACAACGGCCAUGAUUGCUUGCUGCGCGCAAUAUGUGAAGCGUCCGAAAUUCCACUUGGUUUACAUAACGGCGUUCUUGGUGACAUAAUGCAUAUCAUAUUCACGCCGUCAUCAUCAGCUAAUGAGAAUA